AUAAACAGACGCUGCAACAUCUUGCACGAUUUUUUGAACAUGGCAUCCACAAUUUGCCGUAUGAGCGAAUCUACUUGACAAAAAAAAAAUCUUCAUUGGGAGUGGAGAGUGCAUGAAUUCUACCAAAUUACACGUGACAUAGAAGAAUGUGUCAAAAGAAGCUGUACAGAUUCAUACAAAGGUUUUUGGCAAAUUUUUUCAACAAAAUUUGUGGAUUUUUUAUUAGCAGAAAUUUGUGAAUUUUUUAAUCAUAAAAAUUGCAAAUUUUUUUUUUUAAAUCACGUUGGAAUUAUUGUAGAAAAUUUGUGUCGACUUUUCUUAGAAAUUCACAUCAAAUUUUGGAAAAUAUCGCAUCGUUUUGUCAACAAAGGUUGUGCUACCCGUGACAAGGAUUGGUUGCAAGCCAUGAUGGAUAUUUGGUACAAUUUUUUGUUGCUUUUCAUUAAUAUCAUGGGUUUUUCACUGUUUCCA